AAUUCGCCCUUAGAGUUUGAUCCUGGCUCAGAUUGAACGCUGGCGGCAUGCCUUACACAUGCAAGUCGAACGGUAACAGGUCUUCGGAUGCUGACGAGUGGCGAACGGGUUAGUAAUACAUCGGAACGUGCCCGAUCGUGGGGGAUAACGAAGCGAAAGCUUUGCUAAUACCGCAUACGAUCUACGGAUGAAAGCAGGGGACCGCAAGGCCUUGCGCGAACGGAGCGGCCGAUGGCAGAUUAGGUAGUUGGUGGGAUAAAAGCUUACCAAGCCGACGAUCUGUAGCUGGUCUGAGAAGACGACCAGCCACACUGGGACUGAGACACGGCCCAGACUCCUACGGGAGGCAGCAGUGGGGAAUUUUGGACAAUGGGCGAAAGCCUGAUCCAGCCAUGCCGCGUGCAGGAUGAAGGCCUUCGGGUUGUAAACUGCUUUUGUACGGAACGAAAAGACUCUGGUUAAUACCUGGGGUCCAUGACGGUAC
rnacentral:rRNA from 1 species